rnacentral:rRNA from 1 species
GAUGAACGCUGGCGGCGUGCCUAAUACAUGCAAGUCGAGCGAACGGACGAGAAGCUUGCUUCUCUGAUGUUAGCGGCGGACGGGUGAGUAACACGUGGAUAACCUACCUAUAAGACUGGGAUAACUUCGGGAAACCGGAGCUAAUACCGGAUAAUAUUUUGAACCGCAUGGUUCAAAAGUAAAAGACGGUCUUGCUGUCACUUAUAGAUGGAUCCGCGCUGCAUUAGCUAGUUGGUAAGGUAACGGCUUACCAAGGCAACGAUGCAUAGCCGACCUGAGAGGGUGAUCGGCCACACUGGAACUGAGACACGGUCCAGACUCCUACGGGAGGCAGCAGUAGGGAAUCUUCCGCAAUGGGCGAAAGCCUGACGGAGCCACGCCGCGUGAGUGAUGAAGGUCUUCGGAUCGUAAAACUCUGUUAUUAGGGAAGAACAUAUGUGUAAGUAACUGUGCACAUCUUGACGGUACCUAAUCAGAAAGCCACGGCUAACUACGUG